CGGCCCUUACUAAAGCCACCGGCAAAGACCAUUUUUCUUUCUUUUUUUUUCCUAACUUGCAUGAUUCUGCUGAUACAUACUUGCACAGGGUAAUGUAACUUUUCUCUACUGCUGCUUAUGGGUUGGAUUUUGUGAUAUGAACUACAACUGCUAGUGUCAUCUUGAAGAUCCGAGUGUGCAAACCCUUGAAAAGAAACAGAUCCAAGUGGGCUUCUCUACAUGUGUUUGAGCUGGAAAAUCGUAGUGUGCUUUUCGGAUAGAGCACUUGACAUUUCGAUUGGAUUACCAUACACUUCUAUGUAAGAGAUGCUCUGUCUGUAUCAGCACUUAAGUCCACUGUAUCUAGAAUGUUGAAUGUUUUACUGUUUACUUUUAUGUAAGGGUGAAUUAGGCCCUUACAUUACCCUAACUUAUUUACUUCACAAACUUGGGAUUUCUUGCCACUUUAAUUUGUC
rnacentral:lncRNA from 1 species